GGAGCUCUCCUGGAAGCCACGUGACGGACUUGGGCGCUUUCAGCCGAGACUCCACCCGCAGCCAAAAUCUGUCUGAGUCCUUCACACAGACCCUGGGUCUGCUCUGGAACCCCAGCCCGCCCCCCUCCUACACUAUUUCAGAGACGACUGGAUAAUGACAGGCACCAGCCACCCGAAAUCCAGAAGUCAUGUGUGGGGAAAUAGAUCACUCAGCUCCACCGACACCCUACGUCUUUCUCAUCCAUGACCACUGCUUCUUCCCAACUCGCUCCUACUCAUCCUGCAGAAUGGUAGGCCACGGGUUUGCUCUGCAGGUCAUCAUUGAGUCCCCACCGGGAUGAUAGGCCACGGGUUUGCUCUGCAGGUCAUCAGUGAGUCCCCACCCAUGCCAGGAAGUGAGCCAGGCACUGGAGCAUCAACAGUGAAGAAUGGGCAAAGACACCUCCGAUUCCGUGGGACUCACAUUCUCGCUGCGGAGGACAGGCAACAAGCAAAGAAAUCAAUG